UAGUCUAGCACUUUACCCACCUUAACACGGUGAAUUGUUUUUACACUUUGGUUUUUCUAUGGAAUAAACAAACAAGAUGUAACGUCUUAAUUAGUGGGGCAGGCUAGCUGUUUCCAGUCUGUGUGAUUAGCUAAGCUGAGUGGACGCCUGCUCCACCUACAUAUUUACCAUACAGACAUGACAGUGGCAUCAAACUUCUCGUCUAACUCUUGGCAAGGCCCACUCACCAGUGUCUGCACCAUGUGGGGUCUCUGCAGUCUGAGACUCUUGACUGUCUGGAAGACAUCAAGGAUGCCCUCUGCCUUCACCCUCUCCAGGACUGUACUCAACGCACAGAAAGUCCCUGUCCGGCCAGCACCAGCACUCUCGGUGAGCAUGACUAUGGAGCAGCUUCUCCACUCCCAGAUCAUCCUCCAGAAGUCCUCUAUGGUGUGCUGCAGGGGGCCCUGGCUCGCCAUGUAUGAGUCCUUCUGACGGUACCCCUGUGUGAGAUAGAGGAGACGGGAGGACGUGAUGUCCAGAGGGAAAGGAGAGACUUAAAAAACCUGAUCUGCUUGGGUUACUGAAAUGAAAUGGUCCACUCUUAUCCAGGUGCUUUUACACUCACAUCAAUGAAAGAGGCAUUGACGUAGUCGGUGUUCUCCUCUCCUCGCUUGACUGGAAUGAUCACUCUAUUGAACUCAUCUGUUAGAAGCAAGGAGAAACAGUAACCUUGAUUUAAAGCAGAGAGUUGACACGGGGACUACAUACGCGAUUUUAUUAUGUCAUCAUGGCAUUCAUCACUGUGUGUAGGCACAAUAAUACUGUAUAAACCCACAGCUCAUGCCUUUGACUGCAUCACUUGACUCACAUGGAAUGAUCUGUAGGACUCUGUUCUUCUUCAUGUUGGCGGGCAGGUUGCCUGUUCUCAUCUUGUCAUUCUGAAUCUUGAUGGAUGUCAGUUUCUAGAAGUUAUGGGAUCACAAUGUAAGGACUUGUGACAUUUCAAUAUGCCAGAUAAACUUCAGCCGCCCAUUGUUUUCAACCUCACUGGAAUAUCGCCGUUUGGAUGCAGAUGUAUGAGAGAGAAUGACUGGAAGAAUACAACACACAGACAGACCUUGAAUUCAGCCUCCAGACCGCUGCAGCCAGCUCCAGGUGAGGGGGAGUAGAGUUUGGCCAGGUGGGACUCCAGAGAGGUCACCUCCAGCUCUGUGUCUCCGUACAGGUAGUGUUCUAACAACGCCUGGAAGAUGAACACAUACUGCAUCUGUGGGACAAAGAGCACAGGUGAAGUCAAAACAUCAUGGCACUGAAAACACUGCAUCAUGGGAGAGAGGGAAUUCCUGUGAACGGAUGGAGUGUGUCAGCACUGGACUUACAUCAGUCUGGACCAUCUGACAACGUUGGGCUCGGAUUCUGGUGACAAAUCCAAACACGUCCACCUUCUUCUCUGCGAUCAUCAUGUCCAACAUGGCAUCGAUCACAAUGAAGGUACCUGUCCUCCCCACGCCCGCGCUGACAACAGAAAUACAAUAUGUCGUGAUUAGUGUGUGCCGUGCAGACGAAGACACAGAACGAAACGGGCAAAAGUAAGAAUGUAAGCUUUGAUCCACUUACCUACAAUGGACCACAAUGGGCCCGGCAUACUGGGGGUUACAAUUCUUGACUUUCUUGAGGAACUUGAGCAUGCCAAUUGGGGUGAAGGGCACCCCGAAGUCUGGCCAGCUAGUGAAGUGGAACUGGGUGACGAGCCUCUGAGGCUUCUUCCCAGACACAUCUCCCACCUGAAACACAAACAAACCAGGUCAUAGAGUGUUUUCAUCUGUCAGUAAACUUGACAGCAUGUCUCAAGUUUCAAAUCUAUUAUUAAUCUAUUUUGUGUCAGCAGUGUGUACCCUGAUAUGUUUAAAAAGGUAUUUGUAGAUACACAUUACACCAGUUUUUCUUUUGUAUUUCGUCACACCAACACACACCAAAUCAAACGGAAAGGUUAAGAAUAAAACAAUUGAAUCCUGGGAGCCACAUUAAUAAAAUAUUACCUGCUGGAUGCAGAACUUGCGGAUGGUGUAGUCCACCAGAACCAUUGUGUCUUCUACAGACACGCGGAUGUUCCCGUAUGUCCAACAGCCCUGGUCCGGCCAGUACUGGGCACACUUGCACUGAAACACAGUGAGUGAUUUAACAUUGAGUACACUCACAAAGCUGUGCACACAAGGGAAUAACAGACUCAAUGUAUGGCAAUAGUGGAAAUAAAGCACGAGAAUAUAAAUUAAGUUGUCCAAAUGAACAACAACAACCCAACUAUGUUGCAUGUAUGACAGAAUGAGAAAAAAACUGAAGAGAGAUUAAAGUAAAGUCCUCACAUAGGGAUUCGCACAGGGGUUUAAAAAGUGCACUGUUUAACUAAUCUCACAGAUAUAAAAUUAAAUUUGCUUCUCUUCUUCAUGUAAUCCCAGACAGACUUGAUGAUCCAAAUAUUUCACGGUGAAUGACUUUUGACAGUAAACUGUCAGCGUGUUCCUCACCCAGUGGUGUUCCCCCAACACAGCUGUUUCUGUUCCAGUUAAUGACUGUGUUUCAACCUACAUAUUGCAUAUAUGAUCAUUUAGCACCUGUUGUUUAAUGUUUAAUCAUUCACCUGAUGAUAUGCCUACAAAAUCCCUGACUUUGUGCAAGUGUACCUAAAAGAACUGAUUCUGCUUAG